rnacentral:misc_RNA from 1 species
AAAGUCUUUCCGUAGGUGAACCUGCGGAAGGAUCAUUGUACCCCUCUGUGAAAUCCUAUCUCUCUUGAAAGGCUUGGUCUUAGUGUGUUGUUCGCUAGAAGUCCUAAUGAUGGAGGUUCUUCGGAGCCUAGGGCUUGAGCAGCAUGUGUUUGACGAUCAGCCGUCACUUUACCAUCGUUGGCUCUCACUCUUUUAAACCCCUUUGUACUUCUGUACUGAACCAAUUCCUUGACGCUCUAACGAGUGACGAUAGAUAUUACGAAACUAAAGAACAACUCUUAGCAACGGAUAUCUUGGUUCCC